rnacentral:rRNA from 1 species
CCUACGGGCGGCAGCAGUGGGGAAUAUUGCGCAAUGGGCGAAAGCCUGACGCAGCGACGCCGCGUGAGGGAUGAAGUUCUUCGGAUCGUAAACCUCUGUCAGCAGGGAAGAACGAUCACUGUGCUAAUCAGCAGUGAAUUGACGGUACCUGCAAAGGAAGCACCGGCUAACUCCGUGCCAGCAGCCGCGGUAAUACGGUGGGUGCGAGCGUUAAUCGGAAUUACUGGGCGUAAAGCGCUCGUAGGCGGUAUGUCAAGUCAAGGGUGAAAUCCCCGCGCUCAACGUGGGAACUGCAUUUGAAACUGGCAAACGGGAGUGUGUGAGAGGAUAGGGGAAUUGCAGGUGUAGGAGUGAA